rnacentral:tRNA from 1 species
GCACAAAUAGCUCAGUUGGUUAGAGCGUGGUUCUGAUCACGCCAAGGUUGCAGGUUCGAUUCCCAUAUGGGGCA